UCUCUCUCAACCUGAAAAAACCCCAGAUCCGUUCUCUCUCUCCCUAAAAAAAGCCCCAAAUCCUCUGAAUCAAGCAUCGGUCCUGCUCCUAACUCCGCCGACGAUCGACCACAUCCUCCGACAAACUCUAUCGAGGUCGACCAACUCCGCCUUCAGCUCCUCCUCCUGCGCGAUUUCGCCGUCGACUAUCGCCGCCGUGAGAUCUCCCAACUACAGCCCUAACUCCACCUUCAGCUCCUCCGAGAUCUUCCACAUCAUCAAGGAGCUGAUCGGGUUCAUCCUCUACAUACACCAUCAGACCCCUUCAUAUUGAGCAACAAGGUCAUUAUGGAGGGAUCGGAGAAGCACAGCCCUCUCAAUGAGGGAUCCAUUCUCUGGAUUACUGAAACUAGGUUGCCACUAGGAAGAAUUGAUGAAGUAUUUGGACCUGUGAAGAAUCCCUUCUAUGUUGUCAGCUACCAACAAAAAAACUGACGCCAAGGCACAGGCUGUAAAAGUUGCCAAAGCUGUGAAGACUGGAGCUUCAAGCAUAAAGAAGAA